rnacentral:lncRNA from 1 species
CAGAAAUUGAAAAUAGAUCUUGGAAGUGAAAGAAACGCAGAGGGGGUGGGCGUCCUACAGAGAAAAUGUCUGAGACUUGUAUUGGAACCCCAGCAGAAGGAGCACUAGAUAUGGGGGCUUAGAAUGAAGAGUCUGGGUUUGGUCUGAGGAAGCAUCUCAGACUUGGAUGUCACUCUACCUCACUUUCCCCGUGGUAAUGUUCUGGAUCUCCAAUCAGGCUGAGUGGUUCGAGGACUAUGUUGUCCAGCGCAAGAGGGAGCUGUGGCCACGAGAGAAAGAGGGCCAGCGCCAGGAGCUAGAGGAAUUUAAACAGAAGAUCCGGAAGCAGAGGGAAGAAAGACUUCUUCAAGCUGCCCAGCAGAGCUCCUGAGACCUUCAGUUCCUCAAGUUCCAGACACCCCCCCCCCCCAGGAAAUAACACACACUGAACUCUCUGUCGCU